rnacentral:tRNA from 1 species
GUCUUCGUGGCUCAGUUGGCUAGAGCGUUGGUCUCAUAAUAUGACCCAAUCAUACAUUGGGAUAUCCAAAGGUCGUGAGUUCGAGCCUCACCGAGGACA